rnacentral:rRNA from 1 species
GAAAGGGGCGGUAAUACCGUAUAAUGUCUACGGAUCAGAGAUUCAUCGGUAUGGGAGCGGCCUAUCUCCUAUCACCUUGUGGGUGAGGUAAUGGCUUACCAAUGCUACGACGGGUAGCGUGACUGAGAUGUUCGGCCGCCACAUCUGGACUGACACAUUGCCCGUACCUACCACGGACGGCUGCCUUAACGGAUAUUGGGCAAUGGGUGAAAGCCUGAGCCAGCAAUGCCGAGUGCAGGAUGAAGCCCCUCGGAGUGUAGACUGCUGUCCGGGGCACUAAAGUCUUCGGAUUGAUCAGUCCCAGGGGAAGUCUCGGCUAACUUCGUGCCAACAACCGCAGUAAUCUCAAGGUGGCGAGCGUUCUUCGGAAUCAUUGGGCUUUAAGGGCACGACACGCGGGAUAGCUCGUGUCAAGUGAAAUCCCCCGGCUUAACCGGGGAAUUGCUUAGAUAACUGUUAGUCCUUGAGACAGGCAUGGGUGCAUGGAACUCUUGGUGGAGCGGUGGAAUGCGUAGAUAUCAAGAGGAACGCCGGAGGUGAAGACGGUUCACUUGUGCCUGUACUGACGCUGAGAUGCGAAAGCGUGGGGAGCACACGGGAUUAGAUACCCCGGUAGUCCACGCCGUGUACGAUGCGUACUAGGUUGUGGGAGUUAUGACGCUCUCACAGCCUCAGCAAAAGUGUUAAGUAGGCCGCCUGGGGAGUACGCCCGCAAGGGUAAAACUCUAAGGAAUUGACGGGGGCUCACACAAACGCUGGAGCAUAUGGAUUAAUUCGAAGCAACGCGCAGAACCUUACAUGGGUUUGACAUGCUUGGAUGCCUGCUUGGAAACAGGUUAGCCUGCCCUUCGGGGUGAAACUUGCACAGGUGCUGCAUGGCUGUCGUCAGCUCGUGUCGUGAGAUGUCGGGUUAAGUCCUGUAACGAGCGAAACCCUUGCCGUUAGUUGCCAGCGGGUCAUGCCGGGGACUCUAACGGGACUGCCGGUGUUAAACCGGAGGAAGGUGGGGAUGACGUCAAGUCAUCAUGGCCUUUAUGCCCAGGGCUUCACACGUGCUACAAUGGCAGGUACAGAGGGAUGCGAGACCGCAAGGUGGAGCGAAGCCCAGAAAACCUGCCUCAGUUCGGAUUGCAGGCUGUCAAUUCGCCUGCAUGAAGUUGGAAUCG